UGGCGACCGGCGCACGGGUGAGUAACACGUGUGCAACCAACCCCGUACCGGGAGAUAACCCGCGGAAACGUGGACUAACAUCCCAUGAGACUCUAGAUCCGCAUGGCUCUAGAUUUAAAAUUCCGGUGGUACGGGACGGGCACGCGCGACAUUAGGUAGUUGGCGGGGUAAGGGCCCACCAAGCCGACGAUGUCUAGGGGUUCUGAGAGGAAGGUCCCCCACACUGGAACUGAGACACGGUCCAG
rnacentral:rRNA from 1 species